CGCUCUCUGAAAAUCAUCUUGAAAAUUAUAAUAAAUAGAGAGUCGGACCUGCCCGGUGACUAUUAAUGUUAAACGGCCGCGGUACUCUGACCGUGCAAAGGUAGCAUAAUCAUUUGCCUUUUAAUUGAAGGCUUGUAUGAAUGGUUUGACGAGAACUAAGCUGUCUCCUCUUAAUUGCAUAAAAAUUAAUUUUUAGGUGAAAAAGCCUAUAUUUAAUUGAGGGACAAGAAGACCCCUUUGAGCUUUAGUAAUUUAGUAGAAAUUUAUAGUUUUAAAAUAGCUGUUUUGCUACAUUUAAUGAAGACAUUUUUUAUUAAAAAUCUUUAGUUGGGGCGACUAAGGAACAUAUAAAGCUUCCUUUAUGAAAGAUUAAAGAAAUCAGUCUAAAGUGAUCCAGUAUUUAUUGAUCAGAGGAAAAAGUUACCAUGGGGAUAACAGCGUAAUCUUUCUAGAGAGUUCUUAUCGAAAGAAGGGUUUGCGACCUCGAUGUUGGACUAAGAUAUCCUAGAGAUGCAGAAGUUUCUAACGGUUAGUCUGUUCGACUAUUAAAAUCUU
rnacentral:rRNA from 1 species